AUAGUGCUGACUUGGGCACUGUGGAAACACGACCUCUUCCCAGUGAGCUCCUCCCAGCAUUAUCUCGUGGUAGGAUCACAGCAGAGCUCAGCCUGUCCCAGAGUGAGCAAAAGGGGGAGGGGAGAAGCUCCUGAUUUUUCAGUAUGCAGUAGAUAAACACCAUUAAUACCCUCUUCAAAGGAGCCUGUGCAUAUUGCCUUGCCUAGCAGAGGUACAGGCAGGCAUAAGCAGAUGAAGCAAUUACUUGGGACACUGGGAAAGCAAUAGCCUUUCCAUUUUAAGCUGCAGUGAGAGCACAGUGGAUCUCAGGCACUAAUGCACUGAUACAGAAGAAAGGCCAGGGUCUGACUUGGACCAGGAACAUCUCUAUUCGCUUCAGCAAGGUUUUAGUCAACUAAACUGUGUGAAUGACGGGACACUGAAAAUACUCCAACAAAUCUAAUUUUCAAAAUAAUUACACUGGUGUUUCCUGGGGAAAAAUAAACCCAAACUACAGCUAUGCUGCAAGUAAUACCACAGGAAACCUAUCAUAGCAAA